rnacentral:rRNA from 1 species
GAUGAACGCUGGCGGCGUGCUUAAUACAUGCAAGUCGAACGAAAAGGCCAUGCUUUUGUGGGGUGCUCGUGUGGCGAACGCGUGAGUAACACGUGAGUAUCCUGCCCUUGACUUUGGGAUAACUUCAGGAAACUGGGGCUAAUACCGGAUAGGAGAUCCUGCUGCAUGGGGGGGGUUGGAAAGUUUCGGCGGUUGGGGAUGGACUCGCGGCUUAUGAGCUUGUUGGUGGGGUAGUGGAUUACAAAGGCUUUGACGGGUAGCCGGCCUGAGAGCGUGAACGGCGACAUGGGGACUGAGAUACGGCCCAGACGGCUAUGUGAGGCAGCAGGGGAGAAGAUGGCAGAAUGGGCGGAAGCCUGAUGCAGCGGCGCCGCGAGCGGGAUAACGGCCUAUGAGUUAUAAACCGCUUUCGACUGAGACGAAGAGUGAUUGACGGUAACGGAUAAGGAAGCACCGGCUAACUACGUG